rnacentral:rRNA from 1 species
UACGGAGGGUGCAAGCGUUAAUCGGAAUUACUGGGCGUAAAGCGCACGUAGGUGGUUUGUUAAGCUAGCUGUGAAAUCCCCGGGCUCAACCUGGGCACUGCAGUUAGAACUGGCAAGCUAGAGUAGGGUAGAGGGGUGUGGAAUUCCAGGUGUAGCGGUGAAAUGCGUAGAUAUCUGGAGGAACAUCAGUGGCGAAGGCGACACCCUGGACUCAUACUGACACUGAGGUGCGAAAGCGUGGGGAGCAAACAGGG